rnacentral:rRNA from 1 species
CAAUAGCGUAUAUUUAAGUUGUUGCAGUUAAAAAGCUCGUAGUUGGAUUUCGGAUGGGCUUGACCGGUCCGCCGUUUGGUGUGCACUGGUCGUGCCUAUCUUGCUGCCGGGGACGCGCUCCUGGCCUUAAUUGGCUGGGACGCGGAGUCGGCGAUGUUACUUUGAAAAAAUUAGAGUGUUCAAAGCAGGCCUAAGCUCUGAAUACAUUAGCAUGGAAUAACGCUACAGGACUCUGGUCUUAUUGCGUUGGUCUUCGAGACCGGGGUAAUGAUUAAGAGGGACAGUUGGGGGCAUUCGUAUUUCAUUGUCAGAGGUGAAAUUCUUGGAUUUAUGAAAGACGAACUUCUGCGAAAGCAUUUGCCAAGGAUGUUUUCAUUAA